UACGUAGGGGGCAAGCGUUGUCCGGAAUCAUUGGGCGUAAAGGGCGCGUAGGCGGCUCGGCACGUCCGUUGUGAAAUCGCCCGGCUCAACUGGGCGGGGUCAGCGGAUACGGUCGAGCUUGAGCAAGCUAGGGGGCAAUGGAAUUCCCGGUGUAGUGGUGGAAUGCGUAGAUAUCGGGAGGAACACCAGUGGCGAAGGCGGUUGCCUGGGGCUUUGCUGACGCUGAUGCGCGAAAGCGUGGGGAGCGAUCCGG
rnacentral:rRNA from 1 species